GAUGAACGCUGGCGGCGUGCCUAAUACAUGCAAGUCGAGCGAACAGACGAGGAGCUUGCUCCUCUGACGUUAGCGGCGGACGGGUGAGUAACACGUGGAUAACCUACCUAUAAGACUGGGAUAACUUCGGGAAACCGGAGCUAAUACCGGAUAAUAUAUUGAACCGCAUGGUUCAAUAGUGAAAGACGGUUUUGCUGUCACUUAUAGAUGGAUCCGCGCCGCAUUAGCUAGUUGGUAAGGUAACGGCUUACCAAGGCAACGAUGCGUAGCCGACCUGAGAGGGUGAUGGGCCACACUGGAACAGAGACACGGUCCAGACUCCUACGGGAGGCAGCAGUAGGGAAACUUCCGCAAUCGGCGGAAGCCUGACGGAGCAACGCCGCGUGAGAGAUGAAGGUCUUCGGAUCGUAAAACUCUGUUAUGAGGGAAGAACAAAUGUGUAAGUAACUAUGCACGUCUGGACGGUACCUAAUCAGAAGGCCAGGGCUAACUACGUG
rnacentral:rRNA from 1 species